CCAGGACCUGGGGUUUUCUCCCCUCCUCCUUCCCUGAUUCUAGGAAUCUUAACCACCAGACCUUACUCUGACUCCCCACCUGAAAUGCUACAUUCAAAUUCCACUCAAAGCUCUACCUUUGAAACAGUUUUCUCUGGAAGUAAAAAAAAAAAAAAAAAGAUUUGAAAAAGGCUGGGGCACUGUCAACAGGAGCUCCCCAAAAUAAGAUGGUGGGACACAGGUUUGCCUCCGAGAACCCUGCGAUUUCAAAUUUGCGAGAUCUGUGUGUAAGAACUUUCCUCUGAUUCACUUUAUGAAUCAUGCGCACAUGUGAUGUGCCGGUGAAUACAGGCUACAAACAUCCCCACUGAGAGCUGAGCUGCGUCAUGGAAAGCGAGGCUGGUGCUUGCUGCUGUACACAGAAGAGCACCAGCCACCUACAGGAGCACAGCAAAGGCACUGGAGGAUUCUCAGGGACCACGAGCAUAGCCUCUACAACAGCAGGGUGAGCUGUCAGGACAUCUGGAUUGGACCCACUAUGACUAAACACAAGGCAGCUUUCUGGAUUUGGCCUUAGGCAUCUAUCUCUUUCCUCCUUUUAGGAACAAAGUCCCCAUGUUUCAGGGAUCUGAAGAGCUUCAAGACCAGCAGGAACCCUGUCUCUCAGGCAGAUAAGCACCUCCUGCACAAGAGGCCUCUCGCAGAGACCGGCAUUUGUCCCCAGCACUCGGUGACUGACAUGGUCUUACUAUGUAGGCUGGGCCAGCACUGAACCAUGCUCUUUCUGCCUCAACGCCUGGAGUGUGGGGGAUCAGACGAAUUCAGUCAGACUGGGUGCUUUUAAGGCAAUGAGCUUUUCAUCAUAGCAUCUUCAGGAGGGCUUUUUAAAAGAAAAGGAAGCUAAAGAAGUUUAACUCUCAAUCUUCACACACUGAGAGGAGAGGUGACAGAGUGUUCGCCACCAAGCGCUAUAGAGCCGUGCCCUCCCCUAGCCCCAAGGACUCAUCGUCAUCAUCAUCGUCACAAGGCAGAGGUUCCCUUGGGUUAGCAAAGGGCCACCUCAGGGACUCAGAUAUCAGAAAUGGCUCUCCAUCAGCGUUUCUUCAGGUCCACGGGAUCCAGCGCCCUCUUCUGGCCUUCUUCAGCACUGCACUCAUGUGCUGCACACACCUAACAUGCGGGCAAGACACCCUCAUACAGAAAAAGAAAAUCUUGAAAAAAUUACAGUAGGAGGCAGCAGAGGAAGACACCUGACAUCAACUUUCGCCUUCAAAUACGGACACACACCAUUUCUUUCUUUUUUUUUUUUCAUUUAAAGAAAAAUCUGAAUAAAGGAAAUGAAACAGAAGGAAAAGAGGAGGAAGAUGAGACGAAAUAACAGCAAUACACUGACGGCUGGUGGUAGAUGUAUCAGCCCAGCCCGGGCAGGAGAAUGGAGUCAUCAGAGGAAAACAGAGUCAUCAGAGGAAGACGUCAUACAGGGGCAUUUGGGACUCUCCCAAAGAGAAGAGCAGGAGCCCAGGCUGGGGUGAUAGCAUCCUGUGGGCAGCCAACUGACCAGCCUCCCCACGUUCUACCUCUCCUGUGGAUGCGGUCAGUCUCUCUCGGCUGGGAAUCCCACUGGCUGUCCAUGUGUCAGAAGCUCAGAACACCCCCACACCUGCCUCACCGGCAGUUCGCUUUCUCAGGACACUGUCCACCCUGAGUGACACCUGACUUUCAGACCCAAAUCCCUGAUAUCAUCCUGUUCCCUCAGGACCCACAUCCACCUCAAACUGUCACCUCAGCCUUGGUAAUCAAUCCUUUAUCAUCACCUCUUUCUUAACACAGCUCAGCCAUAUUGGGUAGGAUCUAUGCAGCAGCCAGGUGGACUGCGGCUAUUGAGUCUCACACAGGAUUCUACACAGCCCUCACA
rnacentral:lncRNA from 1 species